AGUGAACGCUGGCGGUAGGCCUAACACAUGCAAGUCGAACGGCAGCACAGUAAGAGCUUGCUCUUACGGGUGGCGAGUGGCGGACGGGUGAGGAAUACAUCGGAAUCUACUUUUUCGUGGGGGAUAACGUAGGGAAACUUACGCUAAUACCGCAUACGACCUACGGGUGAAAGCAGGGGAUCUUCGGACCUUGCGCGAUUGAAUGAGCCGAUGUCGGAUUAGCUAGUUGGCGGGGUAAAGGCCCACCAAGGCGACGAUCCGCAGCUGGUCUGAGAGGAUGGUCAGCCACACUGGAACUGAAACACGCCCCAGACUCCUACGGGAGGCCGCAGUGUGGAAUAUUGGACAAUGGUCGCAAGCCUUAUCCAGCCAUACCGCGUGUGUGAAGAAGGCCUUCGGGUUGUAAAGCCCUUUUGUUGGGAAAGAAAAGCAGCAGGUUAAUACCCCGCUGUUCUGACGGUACCCAAAGAAUAAGCACCGGCUAACUUCGUG
rnacentral:rRNA from 1 species